UACGGAGGGUGCAAGCGUUAAUCGGAAUUACUGGGCGUAAAGCGCACGCAGGCGGUUUGUUAAGUCAGAUGUGAAUUCCCCGGGCUCAACCUGGGAACUGCAUUUGGAACCGGCAAGCUAGAGUCUCGUAGAGGGGGGUAGAAUUCCAGGUGUAGCGGCGAAAUGCGUAGAGAUCUGGAGGAAUACCGGUGGCGAAGGCGGCCCCCUGGACGAAGACUGACGCUCAGGUGCGAAAGCGUGGGGAGCAAACAGA
rnacentral:rRNA from 1 species